UGAUUGAAUGGCUUAGUGAGGCCUUCGGACUGGCUCAGGGAGGUCGGCAACGACCACCCAGAGCCGGAAAGUUCGUCAAACUUGGUCAUUUAGAGGAAGUAAAAGUCGUAACAAGGUUUCCGUAGGUGAACCUGCGGAAGGAUCAUUACAGANANAGUAAACGCGGANUNCGNNANAACCGCGAACUUCUAAACCUUUGACGAUUGACUCAUGUUGCCUCGGCGGGUUCUCCCGCCAGAGGAUACAUCAAAACUCCUGUUUUAACGGUGUUGUCUGAGCUACAAGCAACGAAUCAAAACUUUCAACAACGGAUCUCUUGGUUCUGGCAUCGAUGAAGAACGCAGCGAAAUGCGAUAAGUAGUGUGAAUUGCAGAAUUCAGUGAAUCAUCGAAUCUUUGAACGCACAUUGCGCCCCUUGGUAUCCCGAGGGGCAUGCCUGUUCGAGCGUCAUUUCACCACUCAAGCCUGGCUUGGUGUUGGGCGACGUCCCCUUUAGGGACGCGCCUCGAAACGCUCGGCGGCGUGGCACCGGCUUUAAGCGUAGCAGAAUCUUUCGCUUUGAAAGUCGGGGCCCCGUCUGCCGGAAGACCUACUCGCAAGNGUUGACCUCGGAUCAGGCAGGGAUACCCGCUGAACUUAAGCAUAUCAAUAAGCGGAGGAAAAGAAACCAACAGGGAUUGCCUCAGUAACGGCGAGUGAAGCGGCAACAGCUCAAAUUUGAAAUCUGGCUCUUUUAGGGUCCGAGUUGUAAUUUGUAGAGGAUGCUUCGGCGUCGGCUCCGGUCUAAGUUCCUUGGAACAGGACGUCAUAGAGGGUGAGAAUCCCGUAUGUGAUCGGUUGCCCCUUGCCAUGUGAAGCUCCUUCGACGAGUCGAGUUG
rnacentral:rRNA from 1 species